UGGCGGACGGGUGAGUAACGCGUAAAGAACUUGCCCUUUAGACUGGGAUAACAGAGGGAAACUUCUGAUAAUACUGGAUAAGUUAGUAUAUCGCAUGAUAUACAAAUGAAAGCUACGGCACUAAAGGAGAGCUUUGCGUCCUAUUAGCUAGUUGGUAAGGUAAGAGCUUACCAAGGCGAUGAUAGGUAGCCGGCCUGAGAGGGUGGACGGCCACAAGGGGACUGAGACACGGCCCAGACUCCUACGGGAGGCAGCAGGA
rnacentral:rRNA from 1 species